CAAAUAUUAUAUUUCAAACUGUUACGCGAGUAUAAAAAGUUUUCAUCUACUCGUUAGCACUUCAGUCAUACGUGACUUCUAUUUUUAAUAACAUGUAGAACGAUUAGCAGAGUGACUUGUAAACAACCCAAUUUUUGCUGAAAGUGGGAUACUCAGAGGUUUUUGUUUCGGAUGAACCGAGCGAUGAUUAUGGCAGCAACUGAAGCAGAAAUGUAAAUGUAGAUCAUGGACAUCCGUUCAAACCGAAAAGUAUGUAGUGCAGUGAUAUAAAGUGACGAAAAGCCUUUGUCACAGUGGGGUUAAUAACCUCCUGACUCUUCCAAUGCUCAUAUUUGGUCUUCAACAUCUUUCUCCGAUGCACGAACAUCGACACAAAGCGAAUGUGGGAAUAUUAAAGAUAAAACCAUAUUUGCUUCGAAUGAAGACAACUGAGACCUAAUUUACAGUACGAACGGUGGGCUGGCAAAGCCUUGAAACAACAGUUGAAGACGGUAGACUCGUGAAAAUUUUCCAACAUGAUUCAACACUAGACUCGUAAAUGAACUGAGGCAUGACCGCUUUGUACGUUCACAACAAGAAACUAAUAAGGAACUUUUAGGGUCAACGGGUCAACUAUCAUCUGAGGUUUUAUUAAUAAAAUAAGAUAUAUUGCUUCAAAAAAAAGUUAACAGCCAGAAAACAUGAUUUUCAAGGGUUUGUUAACAUAUUGUAGAGCUUUUAGUGACGACUUAUCUGGAACAGGUGGUUUUAAAAUGAGAUUAUAUCGUUUUCCAAUUU